rnacentral:rRNA from 1 species
AUUGAACGCUGGCGGCAGGCCUAACACAUGCAAGUCGAACGAGUGGCGGACGGGUGAGUAAUAUCUGGGAAACUGCCUGCUGGAGGGGGAUAACUACUGGAAACGGUAGCUAAUACCGCAUACCAUCGGAUGUGCCCAGAUGGGAUUAGCUAGUAGGUGGGGUAAAGGCUCACCUAGGCGACGAUCGCUAGAUGGUCUGAGAGGAUGACCACCCACACUGGAGCUGAGACACGGUCCAGACUCCUGCGAGAGGCAGCAGUGGGGAAUAUUGCACGAUGGGCGCAAGCCUGAUGCAGCCAUGCCGCGUGUAUGAAGAAGUCCUUCGGGUUGUAAAGUACUUUCAGCGGGGAGGCGUUACACGCAGAAGAAGCACCGGCUAACUCCGUGCCAGCCGCCGCGGUAAGUC